rnacentral:rRNA from 1 species
CUUUCUUUGCUGGCGACCGGCGCACGGGUGAGUAACACGUAUCCAACCUGCCCUUUACUCGGGGAUAGCCUUUCGAAAGAAAGAUUAAUACCCGAUAGUAUAAUGAUUCCGCAUGGUUUCAUUAUUAAAGGAUUCCGGUAAAGGAUGGGGAUGCGUUCCAUUAGGUUGUUGGUGAGGUAACGGCUCACCAAGCCUUCGAUGGAUAGGGGUUCUGAGAAGAAGGUCCCCCACAUUGGAACUGAGACACGGUCCAA